rnacentral:rRNA from 1 species
UACGGAAGGGGCAAGCGUUGUUCGGAAUCAUUGGGCGUAAAGGGCGCGUAGGUGGUUCUGUAUGUCUACCGUGAAAGCGUACGGCUCAACCGUAUUUUGUCGGUAGAAACUGCAGGACUUGGGACGUGGGAGGGGCUGGUGGAAUUCCCUGUGUAGCGGUGAAAUGCGUAGAGAUGGGGGAGAACACUCGUGGCGAAGGCGGCCAGCUAGACCAGUUCUGACACUGAGGCGCGACAGCGUGGGGAGCAAACAGG